rnacentral:sRNA from 1 species
GCUACACACGUACUACAAUGGUCUGGACAGAGGGUAGCCAACCCGCGAGGGCGAGCCAAUCUCAAAAACCAGGCCUCAGUUCAGAUUGCAGGCUGCAACUCGCCUGCAUGAAGGAGGAAUCGCUAGUAAUCGCAGGUCAGCAUACUGCGGUGAAUCCGUUCCCGGGCCUUGUACACACCGCCCGUCACACCAUGGAAGUUGGCCACGCCCGAAGUCAUUACUCUAACCCGUAUGGGAGGGGGAUGCCGAAGGCAGGGCUGAUGACUGGGGUGAAGUCGUAACAAGGUAGCCGUACCGGAAGGUGUGGCUGGAUCACCUCCUUUAAAGGGAGACCAACAAGAGCAGCAGGAAAAAAAGUAAAUACUGUUGUAUCUAGAAUCCCUGGUCGAGCAAGGAAGAAGAGUAGGUUUUAACUUUCAAACUAGAGUUAUGGUUCAAAUAUGGGCUAUUAGCUCAGGUGGUUAGAGCGCACCCCUGAUAAGGGUGAGGUCCCUGGUUCAAGUCCAGGAUAGCCCACCUAAGAAAGCCGGGGGGUAUAGCUCAGUUGGUAGAGCGCUGCCUUUGCAAGGCAGAAGUCAGCGGUUCGAGUCCGCUUACCUCCAGGAGAAAAACCAAGAACUCAGCAAUCAGACCUAAAAAAGUUAAGUCAGACUGCUGGGAAUCUACUUUCCAGUAAGAACCUAGAAAACUGCAUAGUCAAAGAAGUAAAAAGUAACUGAAAAGGAGUUAGAUGUGAUUAAACAUCUAACAAAGUCCAGUCAGGUAU